rnacentral:pre_miRNA from 10 species
UUGCCUAAAGUCACACAGGUUAUAGAUCUUGGGAUUGGGAACCCAGGGAGCCAGACUGCCUGGGUUCAAAUCCAGAUCUAUAACUUGUGUGACUUUGGG